GAUGAACGCUGGCGGCGUGCCUAAUACAUGCAAGUCGAGCGAACAGACGAGGAUCUUGCUCCUCUGACGUUAGCGGCGGACGGGUGAGUAACACGUGGAUAACCUACCUAUAAGACUUGGAUAACUUCGGGAAACCGUAGCUAAUACCGGAUAAUAUAUUGAACCGCAUGGUUCAAUAGUGAAAGACGGUUUUGCUGUCACUUAUAGAUGGAUCCGCGCCGCAUUAGCUAGUUGGUAAGGUAACGGCUUACCAAGGCAACGAUGCGUAGCCGACCUGAGAGGGUGAUCGGCCACACUGGAACUGAGACACGGUCCAGACUCCUACGGGAGGCAGCAGUAGGGAAUCUUCCGCAAUGGGCGAAAGCCUGACGGAGCAACGCCGCGUGAGUGAUGAAGGUCUUCGGAUCGUAAAACUCUGUUAUUAGGGAAGAACAAAUGUGUAAGUAACUAUGCACGUCUUGACGGUACCUAAUCAGAAAGCCACGGCUAACUACGUG
rnacentral:rRNA from 1 species